AUUUAUUAUAUUGGCAGAGGCCUACAAGUUCAAAACAGCUUUAGGAGUUUGAGCUCAAAGAACAUAGAGAACUGGUACAUCUUUUCUGUUCUUGAUAAUAUUUACUGGUAAAACCCAUUUGUUGCACUAGAAUUACUGGAGUACUUAGCAAGAGCAUUGCAAUGUUUGGACUUGCAUACAUUUGCCAAGAACAGGUCGCUUGUUUCUGCUGUACAAUCAGAUCUUCAGCCAUAAUUUUGCUCUACCAUAACCACAGCCAAAUUGGCAUGAAGGGAAACAGCAAUACUUACUACAGUGACCGCACGUUACCUAAUGGUGGUGCCCUUGCUUCACUUGAUAAGCUACAAGUAUGUUCUUUGUCUCUCUGAAGUAGCAUGCAUGUAUGGAUAAGGUAUUACAAUAAUGAAAUAAGGUCAAAAAGAAUGCUUAAAAAAAUUCACUGUGCAAUUUCUUGCAGAACAUGUGGAUAACAGUAUGGUGCACAUUUAUGAAGGAAACCAACUAAAAAGCAUCACAGUCUGGCAUAAAAAGCAUAGAGUGUUGUUCAGCAUUUCAAUCUCUGAAAUACAGCAAGUACUGAAAAAGAUUUUUUUGCAAUUGUAAAACUUAACCAGAUCAGAGUUAAUCUGCUUAACUUGAUGUGAAGUUUAUCAUGCCUCUUUUUUUAUCUGCUACUUUAAGGAAGUAUUGUCUGCAUGAACUCAUCUGUAAAGCAGAAUGGUGAGGGCUAUUCUGAUUUUCUGAGCUAGCCAACUGACUCAUGGUCCUUGGCCAGCACUGAAGGAGGUGUGAAAUAUUCUUGUCCGUGCUGGAGUGCUGGGUGGUGCUCAGACCUGUGUUUGAGACAGUAUUUGAUUCUGUUCAAAGGUGAAGCCUUGCAAACCAAGCUACUGCAGUGUCAGCUGCAGUUCUCACCUGGUCUGGGGAACUGCUGUUUCUGCUUCAGGCUUUCCAGUCAGGUUCUCAGUAGCAGAUCACUUGAAGGACAUCCACAUACAAAAGGGUGACAAGCUCCGACCACUGUCAUGUAUCACACAAUCAAGACGAAAACAUUGUGGGAAGAACUUACAAGUUAUAUAGCAAACUUCACUGGCUCAGGGAUGACAUUAACCACUGCAGGAUGUAUGAACAGAUCUAAAAUGAGAGCGUGAAACAGGAAGGCAGAAGAUGUGUGCUGCAAGGGUCAAGAAGGCUCUUGCAUGAACAGAAAAUAAACUAGUACCAUCUGAGCAAAAAUGAAACAAAGUUUGUUAAGUAAUGCAGAAUGAGAACAGCAAGGGUCUGGAAAAUAAAACACAAGCAGCUGGAUUUGCAGACCUCGAUGACCUGUGUUUCUCUGCUGCUUGGAUUUGCUUAUGUCUGAAAACACAUUUGAGCCCUAACUCCAGUCUUUUCAGGGGUAUGAAAUAUCUCAAUCACUCAGCUGCUCAUUCUUGUGAAACGUCCAGGAACUCUCCUUAAAACUUCCACUUUGCUCUCAAACUGGCCAAGGGGUUCAAAAAUGACUGGGAAAGAGGGACUGAGUGCAUUGGAAUAGCUUGAUUUUUGUUAAGGACAUCAGCAUUUAAAUAAACCUUGGAAUUAGGGAAUGAAAGUCUGUUUCUCAGGUAUUGCAACUGUUUCUGCAUAUGCAAGAGGUUGAAUAAUGCUCUGUAUGCAGAGGCCAAAAGAUGUGUCUAUUGUCAAUUCCUAAAGUGAAGAAAAUUUUAAUAUCCAGAGCUGAUACUAAGAUUUCCCUCUAAAGCUUGUUUUGUUAGUCACCACUGCAACAGGAAUGAUUUUUUAUUGCCAUUUGUUAACGCUAAGUUAUUCCCAUUCCAUGUGAAUCUCACAGCACACAAGCUGGCAUGAGUGAGGUAUCAGUUUCAGUUACUCUUUGCUGGCAGGAAAAUAUCUGAACUCAAGAAGAAUUGCAGAUGUUAUGUAGAACUCAAAAAAGGUGGAGUAUUUACUCCAAGGCCAAAUGUGCUGAAAUUAGUUAUCUCUGAACAAAAGCAGAGCCAGUAAAAACAGCAAUGGAAUAUGAUGGUUAUCUGUCAUUCUCUACGGACAUACUUUUAAAGCAAUUAUGAUAUUUAAGCACACGUUUUACUGAACACGUAAUCCUGUGUUUCUGUUCUUUGCUAGUGACCAUAGCUGCUUUAGAAGUUCUGCAUUGUUCUUCUCUUUUAUGUGAUGCCAAUGUAAUGGGUUGCUAUAUUCAAGACCUGUCCUUCUAGCAGCAGCAGUUUUUUUGCUUUCUUUCACUAUUUCUGGAUAAUGGCAGUAUGGAGUGAAAGCAUGAAUGUGGUUAAUACUGUAAAUAACAGCCCAGGAACAAGAAGGAUAACCUGUCUUUGGGUCUGCAGCAAGUCCUUGUGUCCAGAGACAACCAGUGACAACAUCCAUUUCAUCCUGUUUCCUCUUUCUGAAAAUAUUCCCAUACUAUACUGCAAUAACAUUGUUGCCAUGGCACCCAUCAAAACCCAGAUAUGCUCCUGCUUUAACGUAGCAAGAUGCAAAUUUUGAUAAGAGGAGAAUUUCUUUUCAUUUUUCACUGCUAUAGGUAUAGGAUUCUAUCCAUGCCUCCAGACAGAUGCAAUUUACUAAACACUCUUUGUUAUUUCUGAAUACAUGCCAUGGAUUAUUCUUAUCAGUUCAACCCACAAAGGGUUCCUGCUAAAUUUUCUGUACUUGCCUGUUUGAUUUUCAUGGUACAGAUUCCUCUACGUAUGUCAUCUGCACUCGACCACCCUUUAGAAAGGUGGGGAAGUGUGGGGGGAAAGGGGGAGUGGCUCAUCAGCUGGUUUAAAUUGAAGUCAGUGCAUCACAGCAAUAUACACCAGCUGAGGUUCUGGUUCUACAUCUUCAAAGGAGAAAACUUGAACUGAUAUGCAAGCCGUUUUCUUCUUCUGCAACAGAGAACAGCUGGUGAAUCUGACUCUGACUGUAUGCAGCCUAGUGUAAAUAGUGGUAAUUGCCACUGAAGUCUUGAUUUGUACUGAUAGAGUUGGUUGUGGAAGAGAUUAUAUGUGUGUAUGUUCAGACUUUAUUGCACACAACAGCUAGGGAGGGAGGAGAGUCUAGAGCCCACAUCUGAAGUCAUGUUGAUCACGUCAUAAAAGAAUAUUUAAAGUGUAUUUAUUAAAGACAAAUAUUGUGUUCCUGCUUGCCCUUUGUGCUGGCUCAGCAGUUAGAUAUCAGCUUUAGUGGAACGACAGACAGUUCUGUGACAAAGGCAAUUCUCUUGAAAGUACAAAGGCAACCUAAACCCCUUGUAUGCUGGGGUGUGUGAGGUAAGAAGAGGGUAAAGACUGCUAAUGCGUUUGUCUCUGUUGUCUUAGAACAUGUUCCAUUCUGUGAAUGAGUGAUUUGCUCAAGGGACAUACUCUCUGCUAAAUGAAUCUUCAUUCUGGGUCACUUUUGCAUAAAUGUAAGGAAAAUGAUGGAGAUCUGAAAAGUUAAGCUGGCAAAAAAUAAAUGUGUUGGAGAUUU